rnacentral:rRNA from 1 species
AGUGAACGCUGGCGGCAGGCCUAACACAUGCAAGUCGAACGGCAGCACAGGAGAGCUUGCUCUCUGGGUGGCGAGUGGCGGACGGGUGAGGAAUAUAUCGGAAUCUACCCUUUCGUGGGGGAUAACGUAGGGAAACUUACGCUAAUACCGCAUACGAACUGAGGUUGAAAGCGGAGGACCGCAAGGCGUCGCGCGGAUGGAUGAGCCGAUAUCCGAUUAGGUAGUUGGCGGGGUAAAGGCCCACCAAGGCGACGAUCGGUAGCUGGUCUGAGAGGAUGAUCAGCCACACUGGAACUGAGACACGGUCCAGACUCCUACGGGUGGCAGCAGUGGGGAAUAUUGGACAAUGGGCGCAAGCCUGAUCCAGCCGUGCCGCGUGUGUGAAGAAGGCCUUCGGGUUGUAAAGCACUUUUGUUGGGAAAGAAAAGCGGUCGGUUAAUACCCGGUCGUUCUGACGGUACCCAAAGAAUAAGCACCGGCUAACUUCGUGCCAGCCGCCGCAGUAAGAC